rnacentral:lncRNA from 1 species
UGAAAAAUACUUCCAUUCCUUUGCAUCCAAAUAUGCCAGCAUCAAAUAAUGAUUAUUAUUAGACCAAAAUUCCUGGGAAGAGCAUUAGUGUUCAAGAGAAUCUCAUCCAAGACUGAGAUACCCCUAAACUUGUGUAGGCCAAGGGAUGCCCAACAAACAUAAGCAAACAGACAAUCCGAAAAUAGUCUCAUCAGCAUUUAGAGUACAAAUGGCACAAUUCUGAGAAGACAUGUAAAAAACUUUUCUAUGGAGGAGGCAUCUGGUGUUGAUUCUGUCAUGCAAGAGCAGCCAAAAAAAUAUUCUAUAUCUUGGCAUUGCCACACAUCUCCAGAUUUUCAAGAAGGCAGGGAAGCAGCAUUGUCCUGCUAUAAAAACUUGUACAUGUUAAUAGCAGUAAAAUCUUUUGAGUUCCAACUGUAAGUCCAGGUGUCUCUGAUCAGUAAUCGCCACAUUGCUCAACAACAAUUGCAUAUGGUUUAGUUGUUGAAAUGCCUGUAAGGAUAGAGGUGAAUGCGUUGUUCUUGCAAAAUGCACACGGCAAAAUUCAAUGGCCACAAUGCUUCUCUUCUCUAUCCAAUGCUGACAUGUGCUGAGUGUAUACUGCACCUUAUGAGCAUGGCUAAUAGUAAGGUGCUAUGUCAUCUAUAGUCAUUGAUAAAGUAGUGUUAACUAUUAGACUAUUUUCUUAAAGCUCACAGUGCUUUAAGAAAAGUAGCGUGCAUGACCUACUUUAUCAAUUGAGUAAGUUUCAGAAACUAAACCUUAAAGCUCACAGUGCCCUCAUACGGGAUCCAACUACUUUGUUGAUUGCGAUGCAAUAGGGCAGCUGGCACGGCUGGGCUGGUGCGAGCUUCCACAGCUUCGUGCCCGUGCGAAUUUUCGUUUUUGUGAGAAAUAGCUGCCGCUGUGUCAAACCAAAGGAGACAGUCUAGGAUGCCCAGAAGAUAUUUAUGGAUAGAAUAUUACACGUGUCUGGACUCAGUGCAAGAAUUUUCUUCAUUCUUUCAAUAAUUUUCUUCAGUGGAAGCAGGCAUCUUGGUUGGUCCACCACAACACAAUGUAGAGAGGGAGGUCCAACCAACGCAUAUGGAUAAGCACAAGCAAGCGCAAUGAGCCAUGCAUGCAUGUAUGUAGGCUGCGUGAAAGCUCUACUGCUCUUAACCGUGCAUGGGUUCUUAGAAAUAGCCAUUUCUCGGCCAGACGGGCAUUAUCAUUCAUUUUUUUUUCUUGAACCGGGCUUUACCCCCUUCCAUGGCAAGAGAACGGAAAUACAAACCAGUUCAAGUUGUCAGGAGGAGGGAAAGAGGGUAGAGCGAGUUCAAGCACUACCAGGAAACCCACCACAUUCGCUCGCCGUCGAAACGGAUGCCAUGGGGCGAAAACCUGGUAGCACCAACUUUGUCAUGUCUAUUACAAGCCAUAACCAACCGGGGAAAGCCGAGACAACACAAAACAAAUAGCGAACUAACGAUCUAAUCAGCAGAAAUGGGAAAGGGCGCCGCAGAGCUCUUUGACUGAAGACGUCUUUUAUCUUUGACAUGCAUGGAUCUUGGACGCCUAUGCUGAAGCACCCAUGCCCCUCACGAGCUUUGGAUCGGUUGCUUGGCAGCAUCGCACAGCCUCAUCAGUUAUCAUUCAUUGGUUGAUCGAUCUGGAAAACCACACUCCACAUUGGUUGCCGCACUAGCAUGUUUUGGGUACUUCGGUGCUGAUUAAUUGGAUGUAUAGAAUCGACGGGCACCUCACCAGUGGCGUCCAACCGAGGUAGGCCCGAGAAGUGGACGGCGGAUAGACAGCCUCUCUCCCAGCUCUAUAAAUCACGGGCACACCAAGCUUCCCUUCCAAAGCAGAACAAGCGCAGUCAGAGAGCAUAUGAACUCGAUGCACUUCGUUGAGUGAGAUCAUCACCAUGUCGUGCUGUGGAGGCAACUGCGAAUGCAGCAACGACUGCGGAGGGUAAAUUAUCUCCAAUCUCCUCCUAAUCUCUGCGUUCGAUCUCUCUGUCUUUACGCCUUCUUUCUCAACCUUUUCUUUCAUCUCUCCUCGAACGUACGCACGCACGAACGAAUCUGCUUUGGAGAGGGGGAAAAAGGACCUCUUCUCUGAGAUAGGUCACGCACGCUGUCUAUUUGUUUAUCGUUUCCAUGGGGAGAUCUGCAACGCCAAGUCGUUGUGUCGCGGCCCGUCGAUCUCCGUCCGCGUGAUAGCAGUCGGUUUAAAAAGAGGAGAUUAUCCUUAAUUAAUUACACCUAAUUAUCAUAAUUCUUAUAACAAAACUUACGUAUGGCUUGGCUGCCUGUUGCAGCUUUGCUUCUCCCAAGUUUUUUCUAGGCUGUUUCUGGGACGAAAUCAUCACUACCUUUGUCUGAAAAAUUGAACAGGGCUCGAUGUGGGGGGGCGAUUCAUUGACUCAUUGUACGGACAUGAUGACAUCCACGGCCUGGAUUACUGGGCUAAGAAGUGCGCGGAUUAUUUGUCGUCAGACCCACCUGAUGGUACAUCUAUCGAAUUUCCUUCUUCGUCAAUCAUAUUAUGUAAAAGAGAUUAAAAAAACUAAUGCUAAUGAACAUUUGCAAUUUCCAGUGAAGCUUGGCAUAGGUGGCUUUGGCAUGGGAGCGGCCGUUGCAUUAUAUUCUGCCCAAUGCUUUGCCAUGGGUAGAUUCGCUAAUGGGUUACCAUACCCGCCAAUCACCCUUGAUUUUGUGAUUGGGUUUAGCGGCUGGCUUCCCUUCUCAGGGUCUGAAUCCUUAAUAUUCUGGAGGAAAAUAAAUACUAGUGAUUUACUCAUGACAUGUGCGUAGUAGUAUUUGUUAAACUCAUAUACAAACUCGUAUUGUUCAUGACCCUGAAGAGCAGGAUGGAGAGCUCAGGGACGACUGCUCGCAGGAGAGCCGCUCACUUAAAAAUCCUGCUCUUGCAUGGAGACGGUUAGCAUUGCUAUUGUUUUGCUAAAUACUCAUGUUAAGUUCCUUUUUUUAGGGAAUACUCAUGUUAAGUUCCUUGUCAGUGCUAAGAAUGGUUUCUUUAUUUGGUGUUCCUGCAGAUGAUCCUCAAGUACCAUAUGAAACCAGUAUAUGGUACGCUGAGUUUCUGCGAACCUCAGGAUUUUCAGUGGAUUUUAGAACCUUCAACAGGUACUACAGUUGAACAUACACAAUUUCUUCACUGAUCAUUUGCUCUCAUAUUGUUCUUCUAAAAUUUAGUACUAACAUCAUCAUGUCAUUCAUGCAGACUGCAGCAUUUUUGGACGUACCGUGAGAUGGAUUAUGUCAAGCAGUGGCUCCGCCCUAGGAUCGCAGUGCCCAGACGCCAUGGAAGGCUGUAGUUUAGUACUCCCUCUGUAAACAAAUAUAAGAUCGUUUAGAUUACUAAUAUAGUGAUCUAAACAAUCUGAGAGGCUGUAGUUUAGUAAGUACUAAAGAGGAUGGCAGUAUUGUAUGGCAGUAAGUACUAAAGAGGAUGGCAGCAUUGUAUGGCAGUAAGUACUAAAGAGGAUGGCUGUAUUGUAUGGCAGUAAGUACUAAAGAGGAUGGCGGUAUUGUAUGGCAGUAAGUACUAAAGAGGAUGAACAUUUGCAAUUUCCAGUGAAGCUUGGCAUAGGUGGCUUUGGCAUGGGUGCUGCCGUUGCCCUCUACUCGGCACAGUGCUAUGCCUUGGGAAUAUUUUAUAAUUAGUUACCAUACCGAUUACCCUGGGCUUUGUCAUUGAGUGUAGCAGUUGGCUUCCCUUCACAGGGUCUUAAUCCUUAAUUGGAUUUGAAUCCAGUGACAAAAUCUAAGGUAAUUGACGGUUCAAAUAAUCUAAGGUAAUUGGGUAUGAUAACUGAUCCGGCGCAUCUUACCGACGUCAUCAUGUCAAGAGCCCCAUUAUUAAGAGGCACGCCCAACAUCUACUUCAAUCAAACAUACUAAGGUGGAUUCUAUCGUUAAUGCAUGUCUUCUUGGUUCUCCUGAGGAUGGUAUGCUACUUGAUUUUCAUGCCAUUUGCACAUAUAGGUUUGAGUCCAAUGAUGAGUGUGCCAUAGAGGAGGUUAUCCCCAAACGAGUGCCUACACCAUCCGCGAGAGAAGCAUGAAAGCGGAGAAGGAGCUAAAGAUGAAGACAAGGUUCCGCAAGCAUCAACGGGUGUCCAUGAAAAAGGCUACAAGCAAUUAAUGCAGCCUGAAAUGAUCUCCGGCAAUAUGGCGCCAUAGCACAUAGAUUCACCUCUUUCAAGUUCCUAAUUAUAUCCUGCCAGUCUGAACUGUAAUCACGAUAUGCCUUUGUGUUCAUGUUUGGCACCAGGGCCAAGGCUUUGAUGCGAGCGUCGUCUGGGCGAGUGAGCACUGCAAUCUAUUUUUGGGUUGUGUUCAGACUUCAGACACAAGCGGUAGUCAGCUCGGUUUAAGUCGAUAAACUAAGCUUGUGGUUUCUCCUCCAAAUCAUCGAGGAGGAAGUGAUUAAUGAAAGCAAAAGUGGACGCUGGCCUAUAAUAUAUACAACAACAACAACAAAGCCUUUAGUCCCAAGCAAGUUGGGGUAGGCUACGCUGGCCUAUAAUAUAUGACUUCAUGAAUUACCUUUCUUCUCAAAGACCAUGUGACCGAGCAAACAACUCACGUUUUGAUGAAGUCAGGAGUCCAUCAUAUGAGAGCACCACCGUUCGAUGUUCUGGACACCAAAAUCUGGAUAAGUGUUCAAUAUAAGCUCCUCACCGAUCAACAAUAUACCAAAAGAAAAUCAGUCGAUGCAUUGGCACAAAAAAUAUAUGGCAAACAAAUAUGUUACAUUAAACCAAAAGAAAAAGUCUGUUUAGUACAAGAAAAUGAAAAACGUGAAACCAAUAGUCCUAUUUUUAUUUUUUAUUUUUUAUUUUUAACGGGGAUUUAUUUUAUCACUGAUCGUAAGAAAUCAAUAGCUAUUUGCUUCAUACAAAGAAAGAAAAAUUAUACCCACACAGCCCAAAAAAUUGAACACAUGGGGCAACUCAUAGAAAAGCAUAAGGCCUAGGUUCAAGCUGCAAAACUUUACGAAGUAAUGUGGUAUAGAGAAAGCAUGAGGCCCGUGUUCAAGUUGCAAAACAUCAAACAAGAAACAAAGUAAUGCAGUACAGAGAGACAACAGGCGCAGCAAAGCGCAUCUAUGCUUCUAGUAAUGGCUAUAACCUACUACUUCCAAUAAUGCUAGCACUCAGGAUAGCCCACAUCGCCAAUUAGUUUGAUGCAUGCAAAAAAAGCACCCAACGACUACUUUUGAUUCGACACAAGUGAAAUUCCUACAUUCGGCCUGGAAAAGGGUAAAAAGACCAUGAAAUUGAUCUUGAAGCCCACGUUAAGCGUGCGUUGGAGCUGGCCUAUAGAAGUAUAGAGGUUAGCCACAAGAUCAAUUCCAACAUUGUGAUGGUUUUUCCCCCNNNNNNNNNNNNNNNNNNNNNNNNNNNNNNNNNNNNNNNNNNNNNNNNNNNNNNNNNNNNNNNNNNNNNNNNNNNNNNNNNNNNNNNNNNNNNNNNNNNNNNNNNNNNNNNNNNNNNNNNNNNNNNNNNNNNNNNNNNNNNNNNNNNNNNNNNNNNNNNNNNNNNNNNNNNNNNNNNNAUCGAUCAAAUGCUAUUUCUUGAAAUCAGGUAAAACUCUUGUAAUCGUGUGACAGCUUUUUUUUUGUAAUCGAGUAAAAGGCAAGUUACAUGACUCACUACUUUUUUACUCAAUUAAUCAUGAUUCUUAUAAUGGGGCAAAUGCUAUUUCUUGGAAUCGGGUCAAACUCUUGGAAUAGUGUAACAAUUGCUUUUUGUAAUGGGGGGAAAAGGCAAGUUAGAGAGCUCACAACUUUAACCCAAUUCAUCAAUCUUAUAAUCGGGCAAAUGCUAUUUCUUGGAAUUGGGUAAAACCCUUGGAAUCGUGCAACAAUUGCUUUCUGUAAUCGGGUAAAAGGCAAGUUAUUAGAUGGCUCACGGAAUAACAUACACUCCUCGCCUGUUUUGCCCUCUUCCGUCCAGAUUCUCACCCGGGACCCUAUAAAUAUAGUUCCAC